CUACGGAGGGUGCAAGCGUUAUUCGGAAUCACUGGGCGUAAAGGACGCGUGGCGGGUUGGCAAGUCAGAUGUGAAAUCCUACAGCUUAACUGUAGAACUGCAUUUGAAACUGCUAACCUAGAGUAUGGGAGGGGGAGAUGGAAUUAGUGGUGUAGGGGUAAAAUCCGUAGAUAUCACUAGGAAUACCGAAAGCGAAGGCGAUCUCCUGGAACAUAACUGACGCUAAGGCGUGAAAGCGUGGGGAGCAAACAGGAUUAGAAACCCUAGUAGUCC
rnacentral:rRNA from 1 species